UGCCCUUAGCAAUGGGUAGAGAAGCAGCUUGGUGGUGGUGUGGUUCUUAGAUCACUCAAGGGCAGGGUAGAUGGAAGUCCUUUGUUUGUCCUAGCUUGAUACCUGGCUUGGUGGCCAUGGCUGUCUUAUGCCUAGGACACACAC